UACGGAGGGUGCAAGCGUUAUCCGGAUUUACUGGGUUUAAAGGGUGCGUAGGUGGGCAGGUAAGUCAGUGGUGAAAUCUCCGGGCUUAACUCGGAAACUGCCAUUGAUACUAUCUUUCUUGAAUACCGUGGAGGUCAGCGGAAUAUGUCAUGUAGCGGUGAAAUGCUUAGAUAUGACAUAGAACACCAAUUGCGAAGGCAGCUGGCUACACGAAUAUUGACACUGAGGCACGAAAGCGUGGGGAUCAAACAGG
rnacentral:rRNA from 1 species